UGGGGAAUAUUGGACAAUGGGCGAAAGCCUGAUCCAGCCAUGCCGCGUGUGUGAAGAAGGUCUUCGGAUUGUAAAGCACUUUAAGUUGGGAGGAAGGGCAUUAACCUAAUACGUUAGUGUUUUGACGUUACCGACAGAAUAAGCACCGGCUAACUCUGUGCCAGCAGCCGCGGUAAUACAGAGGGUGCUAGCGUUAAUCGGAAUUACUGGGCGUAAAGCGCGCGUAGGUGGUUUGUUAAGUUGGAUGUGAAAGCCCCGGGCUCAACCUGGGAACUGCAUCCAAAACUGGCAAGCUAGAGUACGGUAGAGGGUGGUGGAAUUUCCUGUGUAGCGGUGAAAUGCGUAGAUAUAGGAAGGAACACCAGUGGCGAAGGCGACCACCUGGACUGAUACUGACACUGAGGUGCGAAAGCGUGGGGAGCAAACA
rnacentral:rRNA from 1 species